CAUACUUUCUUGGUUUUGAAUUCCCAUAUAUCUAUAUAAUAAGAUAGAAAGGUUUUUGAAAAUGUGUAAAAUGUAUCAGAGAUACAUUUCGUUUCAACGGCUAAGAUGAAUCUUACAUUUAUAUUAACGGUUUAGAUCAAUUAUAGUCCCGCCCAAACAUUUCUCCUGAGCUUUCCACCAACCCACGUCUCCCCACCUUCCCUCUCUGUCUCUCUCUCCCUCUCUGCUCUCAUGUCUCCCUAUUCCCUUUUUAUCUCUCUCUCCCCUUCGAAAUCGGACCCUUGGCUGAAGAAUGUUUGAGUUCAUCUAUGGUGUGUGAAACAGCGAGCACAACCUCUGAACUGUGAAUCGCAACGUCGUUGACAAUUACGACGCUGUUCGCCGAUCGAAUAACCACCUUCUUCUAAGGAGAUAGUGUCUCCAAUCGUCCCGGCACAACGUGGUGAAGGAAAUCAAACCGAAAUCCAUUAGAUUCGGAGAACCGAUCGAAUAACCACCUUCUUCUGAGGAGAUAGUGUCUCCAAUCGUCCCGGCACAACGUGGCGAAGGAAAUCGGAGAACAAACUCGAAUCUGAUGGAGAAUAAACUCGAAUCUGAUGGAGCGAAUCAUUCACGUAGAGAUCGGCUGGCGUAGAUUGUUUUCUUGGAUCCGGAGAUGGUGAGAUCGCCGUUGAAGCCCUUGGAGACGAAGAGGCAAAAAUAGAAGAAUUGAAGCUGGAAUUUUAGAAGACCCAAUUCAAUUCAAUUGAUUUAUUUUUCUUUCUACAAUCUUUGUUGGAGCUGAGUAUGAGAAGAUUUGGCAAUAUCAGAAAAUUCAAGUUUGCAUGUAUUUAGCUUCCUGGCCAAUUCAUCCAAAAGGGAAAACCAGGGGCCUUUUCUCUUGGAAGACCUACAGCAUUCUUGAAAAAUUACAAAUCAAGCCUACAUUUCUUCGGUCAUUUAGAAGUCGAGAUUUUUUGCAGCUAUAGGUUCAAACAGGGGCCUCCGAUUCCUCUAGACAAUCACAAACCUUUGCCAGUUUUAAAGAGUUGCAACCUCUCUUUGGGUCAUUUAGAAGGUAGAUUUUUUU